CCUACGGGCGGCAGCAGUGGGGAAUAUUGGACAAUGGGGGCAACCCUGAUCCAGCCAUGCCGCGUGUGUGAAGAAGGCCCUCGGGUUGUAAAGCACUUUCAGUGAGGAAGAACGCCUGGUGGUUAAUACCCAUCAGGAAAGACAUCACUCACAGAAGAAGCACCGGCUAACUCCGUGCCAGCAGCCGCGGUAAUACGGAGGGUGCGAGCGUUAAUCGGAAUUACUGGGCGUAAAGCGCGCGUAGGUGGCUUGAUAAGCCGGUUGUGAAAGCCCCGGGCUCAACCUGGGAACGGCAUCCGGAACUGUCAAGCUAGAGUGCAGGAGAGGAAGGUAGAAUUCCCGGUGUAGCGGUGAAAUGCGUAGAGAUCGGGAGGAAUACCAGUGGCGAAGACGGCCUUCUGGACUGACACUGACACUGAGGUGCGAAAGCGUGGGUAGCAAACAGGAUUAGAUACCCCGGUAGUC
rnacentral:rRNA from 1 species